GACAGAGGGAGCUAGCGUUGUUCGGAAUGACUGGGCGUAAAGGGUGCGUAGGCGGUGACCUAAGUAGGAUGUGAAAGCCCCAGGCUUAACCUGGGAAUGUCGUUCUAAACUGGGUGACUAGAGUAUGAGAGAGGAAAGUGGAAUUCCUAGUGUAGAGGUGAAAUUCGUAGAUAUUAGGAGGAAUACCGGAGGCGAAGGCGGCUUUCUGGAUCAACACUGACGCUGAGGCACGAAAGCGUGGGGAGCAAACAGG
rnacentral:rRNA from 1 species